GACGUAGGGCGCGAGCGUUGUCCGGAUUUAUUGGGCGUAAAGAGCUCGUAGGCGGUUUGUCGCGUCGGAUGUGAAAGCCCGGGGCUUAACUCCGGGUCUGCAUUCGAUACGGGCAGACUAGAGUGUGGUAGGGGAGAUCGGAAUUCCUGGUGUAGCGGUGAAAUGCGCAGAUAUCAGGAGGAACACCGGUGGCGAAGGCGGAUCUCUGGGCCAUUACUGACGCUGAGGAGCGAAAGCGUGGGGAGCGAACAGG
rnacentral:rRNA from 1 species